AACGAACGCUGGCGGCGUGUUUAAGACAUGCAAGCCGCACGGGAUAAGACAUGUAGUAAUACUUGUUUUGUUUAGUGGCGCACGGGUGAGUAACACGUGAAUUACAUGCCCUAUAGUGGGGAAUAGCCCAGGGAAACUUGGAUUAAUACCCCAUGGUAUCGAAAGAUUAAAGGUGGCCGCAAGGCUGUCGCUAUAGGAUUGGUUCGCGCCCUAUCAGCUUGUUGGUGAGGUAACGGCUCACCAAGGCAAUGACGGGUACCUGGUCUGGGUGGACGAUCAGGCACACUGGAACUGAGACACGGUCCAGACACCUACGGGUGGCAGCAGUCGAGAAUAAUUCACAAUGGGGGCAACCCUGAUGGUGCAACGCCGCGUGGAGGAUGACGGUCUUCGGAUUGUAAACUCCUGUCAUCUGGGAGAAAGACCUGACGGUAAAUAGCCGGCAGGGUUGAUAGUACCAGAAGAGGAAGGGACGGCUAACUUCGUGCCAGCCGCCGCGGUAA
rnacentral:rRNA from 1 species